CCAUAGCCAUUGUAAAGCCCCAAGUGCCUUUGCAAGCCCAAACCCGAAUCGGCCACCAGAGCAGAACUUGCACCUGGAACUGCCGCUCAGGAAUGUGUUGUGUGUAGGAAUCACCAUUUAAAAAGAAAUGGCUUUGGCACCUUGUUAAGGGAAAUAUGUAUCAGCUACAAUUUCUGCUUCAACUCAUCCGUAAUGAAAAGAUGAAAGGGCAGGCUAGGCUGGGAGCAGGGAGAGCUGCAUACCUUCUGAUGUUCUCCUAAAUACUCAUGUUUAUAGUGCUUCACAGUUUUUCAUGCAGCAUCCUUUUGAAGUGGAAAAGAGUCACGGCUCUCAUUUUACCAAUGGGAAUCUGAAAACAGGGAAGCUAAACUCUUCUGGUUUGGAUCAAGCACCUCACUUAUGGACACAGAGGAAGUUUCUGGUGAAAUGGGCAGGGAAGACCAGCUAUCCUAAACCCUGGGCUAAUACUCAGGUAACGGGCCCAUCCUGUCUCUGGGAAACUGUUGAUUCUAGCCCUGGGCUCUAAUACAUUCUUAUUACAGCCCAUAAUUUCUACCACUAACACAAUGACUUCUCCUGGUCUACACUGAGAACAUUUAAAAAGCCCUGGCAGAUGUUGCCCUGGUAUAAGAUGCCCUGCUCAUAGAUGGCUAAUCCUCAACAUACCUCAAAAAAAGGUGAAGGGGAGAGAAGAUUUAAAUUAUUAGGACAAAAAUCCAGGAGGUCCUGUUGUAUUAAAUUCUUCUUGAAGUGGGAAGACGGCAACCUCAAGUCUGACUUUAGCCAAAAUUAACCUUAUUUUCUUUUGGUCAGAGAAAGCUUCUGGGAAAUUCAGAGCAGUGACUGCCCUUUUAAAGGGCAUCUCUCCUUUUACUUGCUCUGGUCAGGGGUUAGAGAGACCAGCUGUUAGGAAGCCCAGGUGCUGAUGAUCUUCCUCCACAGGAGGCUGAAAUCCAGACUUCCCAGUACUUCCUAACCCAGUGGGAAGCCAAACUCACUCACAGACUCUUUGUUUGUCCAGCAAGGUCCUGUGAUCUGGGGCCCUAGGUGCUACCCUGUUCUCCUGGAUACCCAAGCUCCUUUGUUGUGCUGGCUGAGGCAGGGACCUGAUUAAAUCCUAACUCCCUUAGGGUCAUAUGCAUGUGCCAUAGCAUGGUCACCUCAAAAGGUGCAGCUACUGUCACCACCUGCCUUUGGCAUUAAAGAGUGCUCAUCUGCAAAAGGCAGAGCUAUUCUGGCCUUGCAGCUGCUUGGGCUGGUGGCAACACCUUGACCCACCAGCAGUUCAGAUGCUCUACUGGGACACUGUUACUGCUACAUAAAAAGAGCUGACCAUCUGCACUAGUGUCUUUCUGCAGAAGACUCAGUUUGGAUGCUAAGUGGAAGCAGGUAAGAUGUGUGACAGUUCUCUACAUGACUGUGAUUGGAUUUCUUCAGUCCUUGGCACAAUCCCACCAACCUCUGCUAUCUCUCAUGUUUCAGG